UCUGGGAAAGGGCUUGACGUCAUCACGGCGGCGUUCCCACUGGUGGGUAUCACGGAUAACUUUGUUCCGCCGUUGAUCGCAUGGCCUUGGCGAGGCGAGGGGCGACGCAUCUUUCAAAUGUCUGCCCUAUCAAAUGUCGAUGGUACGUGACAUGCCUACCAUGUUGUAUCUCUGGGCUCAUCUACAUCAGGGUUCGAUUCCGGAGCGCCAUGGACUGAGAAACGGCUACCACAUCCAAGGAAGGCAUCAGGCGCUCAACAAGGCCG
rnacentral:rRNA from 1 species